CAGUAGCCGCGGGAAUACGUAGGGUGCAAGCGUUAAUCGGAAUUACUGGGCGUAAGGCGUGCGCAGGCGGUUAUAUAAGUCAGAUGUGAAAUCCCCGGGCUCAACCUGGGAACUGCAUUCGAGACUGUAUGGCUAGAGUGUGUCAGAGGGGGGUGGAAUUCCACGUGUAGCAGUGAAAUGCGUAGAUAUGUGGAGGAAUACCGAUGGCGAAGGCAGCCCCCUGGGAUAACACUGACGCUCAUGCACGAAAGCGUGGGGAGCAAACAGGAUUAGAUACCCCUGUAGUCCCUGUCUCUUAUAC
rnacentral:rRNA from 1 species